rnacentral:rRNA from 1 species
AUUCCUACGGGAGGCAGCAGUGGGGAAUAUCGCGCAAUGGGCGAAAGCCUGACGCAGCGACGCCGCGUGAGGGAUGAAGGCCUUCGGGGUUGUAAACCUCUUUCAGCAGGGACGAAGCGAAAGUGACGGUACCUGCAGAAGAAGCACCGGCCAACUACGUGCCAGCAGCCGCGGUAAUACGUAGGGUGCAAGCGUUGUCCGGAAUUAUUGGGCGUAAAGAGCUCGUAGGCGGUCUGUCACGUCGGCUGUGAAAACUCGGGGCUCAACCCCGAGCCUGCAGUCGAUACGGGCAGACUAGAGUGCUGUAGGGGAGACUGGAAUUCCUGGUGUAGCGGUGAAAUGCGCAGAUAUCAGGAGGAACACCGGUGGCGAAGGCGGGUCUCUGGGCAGUAACUGACGCUGAGGAGCGAAAGCGUGGGGAGCAAACAGGAUUAGAUACCCUGGUAGUCCACGCCGUAAACGGUGGGUGCUAGGUGUAGGUCGUAUUCCACGCGAUCUGUGCCGCAGCUAACGCAUUAAGCACCCCGCCUGGGGAGUACGGCCGCAAGGCUAAAACUCAAAGGAAUUGACGGGGGCCCGCACAAGCAGCGUAGCAUGUGGCUUAAUUCGACGCAACGCGAAGAACCUUACCAAGGCUUGACAUGCAGGGAAAUCUCACAGAGAUGUGAGGUCCGCAAGGGUCCUGCACAGGUGGUGCAUGGUUGUCGUCAGCUCGUGUCGUGAGAUGUUGGGUUAAGUCCCGCAACGAGCGCAACCCUCGCUCUAUGUUGCCAGCGCGUCAUGGCGGGGACUCAUAGGAGACUGCCGGGGUCAACUCGGAGGAAGGUGGGGACGACGUCAAAUCAUCAUGCCCCUUAUGUCUUGGGCUGCACACAUGCUACAAUGGCCGAUACAAAGGGCUGCUAAGCCGCAAGGUGGAGCGAAUCCCAAAAAGUCGGUCUCAGUUCGGAUUGGGGUCUGCAACUCGACCCCAUGAAGUCGGAGUUG